rnacentral:rRNA from 1 species
GAUGAACGCUGGCGGCGUGCCUAAUACAUGCAAGUCGAGCGAACAGACGAGGAGCUUGCUCCUUUGACGUUAGCGGCGGACGGGUGAGUAACACGUAGGUAACCUACCUAUAAGACUGGGAUAACUUCGGGAAACCGGAGCUAAUACCGGAUAAUAUUUCGAACCGCAUGGUUCGAUAGUGAAAGAUGGCUUUGCUAUCACUUAUAGAUGGACCUGCGCCGUAUUAGCUAGUUGGUAAGGUAACGGCUUACCAAGGCAACGAUACGUAGCCGACCUGAGAGGGUGAUAGGCCACACUGGAACUGAGCCACGGUCCAGACUCCUACGGGAGGCAGCAGUAGGGAAUCUUACGCAAUGGGCGAAAGCAUGACGGAGCAACGCCGCGUGAGUGAUGAAGGUCUUCGGAUCGUAAAACUCUGUUAUUAGGGAAGAACAAACGUGUAAGUAACUGUGCACGUCUUGACGGUACCUAAUCAGAAAGCCACGGCUAACUACGUG